GCAUGUUAUGUUUUCUGUGUUUAGAGAAAAGAAAGAAAAGAAACUGAGCUUUUAAUUGCGAUAAAAACGUGAUUUAUUGUUUGUUGAAUUGAUGAAAAGUUUAUGCGAGCUGUUGGGGAGAAUGUUAUGUGACUGGAUGAGCUGUAUUUCAAGUCUGUAUGGUGUUAUUUCACAAAUCUCCAGCUGUCAACAUCCUGCCUCUCUGCCGACCCCCUUCUCUGUCCGAACGGAUUGUUUCCACGCCACUUGAGUGCUAUAGGCUACUUCACUGUCACACUUCAUCACAAAGAGGGAAGGAUGAGGGGAGAGGAGUGUGAUAAGCGCGGAAGGUUAGUCGCAUCAACUCCCCGCAUUGGUUGAGAAAGCCCGGAUUAUCCCUCAUUUCGCCCCGGGCUUUUGGCUGCCGAGUCGGGCUGGACCUGCAGGCCGAGCCGCUACUCACCGGCCCGAUCGGACCAGGUGUCCAAAUCCCUCAGGGACACGAACUAGUCACUCUCACCCUCCUUACAUGGUAUCUCCAUAAACACACACACGCAGAGAGAGAGA